rnacentral:lncRNA from 1 species
GCCUUAUUACUACUUCACCGAGACUAGGCUAGGCACUUACCAAUACAUGGGGUCGGUUGUGCUGAUACUAUGCUCUGCACUAUGUACGGAUCCCGAUGCGGCGACUUUUGGACCGCAAUGAGGGUGUUGUCUUUAGCCCGUUCAAGCGACCCGAGGUAGUCGUGCAUGUGUCCACAGUCCCUGACGUCUCUUUCUAUCAUCGUCUUCUAUUUUUACUUGUUCAGAUACAGAUUCGUGUAUUUCUGUUCAGACUUUAUUUGUAGUAUUCUUAGAUCGUCCCUGACUUUGUGACACCAAAUUCUAG